rnacentral:hammerhead_ribozyme from 1 species
AUCAAGUUGACGAGUCCCAAAUAGGACGAAACGCGCGUCCUGGAU